rnacentral:tRNA from 1 species
GCGGACGUGGUGGAACCGGUAGACACACAGGACUUAAAAUCCUGAGUUCGAAAGAACGUGUGGGUUCGAGUCCCACCGUCCGCACCA